AAUCAACGCUGGCGGCGUGCCUAACACAUGCAAGUCGAACGAGAAGGUGACUUCGGUCACUGGAUAGUGGCGUCCGGGUGAGUAACACGUAGGUAAUCUACCUUCGGGUGGGGGAAUAACGUCUCGAAAGAGACGCUAAUACCGCAUAAUGCAGCGGCACCUAAUGGUGAUUAGUUGUUAAAGCGGGGGAUCUUCGGACCUCGCGCCUGAAGAGGAGCCUGCGGCAGAUUAGCUAGUUGGUGAGGUAAUGGCUCACCAAGGCUUCGAUCUGUAGCUGGUCUGAGAGGACGGCCAGCCACACUGGCACUGACACACGGGCCAGACUCCUACGGGAGGCAGCAGUGGGGAAUUUUGGGCAAUGGGCGAAAGCCUGACCCAGCAACGCCGCGUGAAGGAGGAAAUCCUUCGGGAUGUAAACUUCAUAAGUAAGGGAAGAAAGCUGC
rnacentral:rRNA from 1 species